AUGUUCCCUGCAUCUCUGAUGCUUCUCCUGGCAGCUGCCUCCUGUAUUUACUGUGAUAUCACACUAAACCAGCCUGGUUCUACAGUUGUAAGGCCAGGAGACUCUGUCACCAUCCCCUGUAAGGUUACUGGUUAUUCUGUUACUAGCACUUGCACCAACUGGAUUCGCCAUUCUGAAGGCAAAGCUAUGGAGUGGAUUGGUUACCUGUGUAGUAGUAGUAGCAGUGGCACAACAGACUCACUAGAGGGCAAAAUCAGCUACACUGUUGACUCCUCCAGCAGCACAGUGUUUCUACAAGGGAAGAACUUCCAGACUGAAGACACAGCUGUGUAUUACUGUGCCCGCUACCCACAGUGA